GUUGGCCGCAUUUGCCUCAUCCAAGGUAGUGAUUUAUAUAACCACUACACAGAUUCAAAAAUCAUCAUUGGAUUGCGUUUAGACAGAUCAAAAUUGGUACGUCUAACUUUAUGGGACAAGGAGGCGUCUAAUUUGAGGGAGUUACAUCGCAUAUCAACAAGGAAAAACCAUGUCGUAAUCAUCACAAGUAUCAUUCCACGGAUACAUGAAGGAAAACUAUCACUCACAGCAACACCUAGAGCGCGCUUCUACUUUAACAACGAAAUUGAUAUCAUUCAACGCUUCCAAAAGAGGAAUAAACUGCUAUCCUAAGCCUCAUAGCAAACGCCACCAGUCUACUUUUAAAACAUUUACGUUACAACUUCCUACA